AGUUAAAAAGCUCGUAGUCGGAUUUCAGUAUUAGGCCCUUCUUCCAAUAUGGUUGCUAGUGGUCUUUACUUCCUUAACAGAAUCUUUCAUCUCAUUAAUUUGGGGUGUUUGGGGCCUGUUUCUUUUACUUUGAGAAAAUUAGAGUGUUCAAAGCGGGUUUUCGCCUGGAUAUUACUCUUGGAAUAAUAAUAUAGGACUUUGGUUCUUUUUUGUUGGUGACUUAGAACCGAAGUAAUGAUUGAUAGGGACAGUUGGGGUCAUUCGUACUAUGAAGCGAGAGGUGAAAUUCUUGGACCUUUGUAUGACGAACUACUGCGAAAGCAUUUGACUAGGAUGUUCCCGUUGAUCAAGAACGAAGGUUGGGGGAUCGAAGACGAUCAGAUACCGUCGUAGUCUCAACCAUAAACUAUGCCAGCUAGGGAUUGGAGGAAGAUCAUUUUACGUCUCCUUCAGCACCUUAUGAGAAAUCAAAGCAUUUGGGUUCCGGGGGGAGUAUGGUCGCAAGGCUGAAACUUAAAGGAAUUGACGGGAGGGCACCACCAGGAGUGGAGCCUGCGGCUUAAUUUGAUUCAACACGGGAAAACUUACCAGGUCCGGACAUGGGAAGGAUUGACAGAUUGAAAGCUCUUUCUUGAUUCUAUGGGUGGUGGUGCAUGGCCGUUCU
rnacentral:rRNA from 1 species